AAGUCGUAACAAGGUUUCCGUAGGUGAACCUGCGGAAGGAUCAUUACCGAGUUCAUGCCCUUACGGGUAGAUCUCCCACCCUUUGUAUACUAUACCUUUGUUGCUUUGGCGGGCCGCCUAGCUACUGGCUUCGGCUGGUAAGUGCCCGCCAGAGGACCCAAAACCCUGAAUUAUUAGUGUCGUCUGAGUAAAAUAUUUAAUAUUUAAAACUUUCAACAACGGAUCUCUUGGCUCUGGCAUCGAUGAAGAACGCAGCGAAAUGCGAUAAGUAAUGUGAAUUGCAGAAUUCAGUGAAUCAUCGAAUCUUUGAACGCACAUUGCGCCCCUUGGUAUUCCGAGGGGCAUGCCUAUUCGAGCGUCAUUAUCACCCCUCAAGCCUAGCUUGGUGUUGAGGCCUGCUGUAAGGGCAGCCUCUAAAAUCAGUGGCAGUGCUGUCAGGCUCUAAGCGUAGUAAAAUUCAUCGCUAUAGACACCUGGUGGACACUCGCCAGAACCCCCCCAUUUUUUAAUGAUUGACCUCGGAUUAGGUAGGGAUACCCGCUGAACUUAA
rnacentral:rRNA from 2 species